rnacentral:snoRNA from 1 species
UUGCCCAUCUAGGACCUAAAAUGUCCUAUAUGACCAACACAGGGGGUAGAGUAGUUCUCUCAUAAACCUGUAGUGAAGCCUCAAAUCCUCACUGUGGAUCCUGUCGGGAGAAACACGA